AAUGAACGCUGGCGGCGUGCUUAACACAUGCAAGUCGCACGAGAACGCUUCAGCUUGCUGAAGUUAGUAAAGUGGCGCACGGGUGAGUAACGCGUGGGUAAUCUACCCUUGAAUUGGGGAUAACCCGCCGAAAGGCGGGCUAAUACCGAAUGACAUCUUGAAAACUUAUGUUCUCAGGAUCAAAGGUGGCCUCUACAUGUAAGCUAUUGUUUGGGGAUGAGCCCGCGUACCAUUAGCUUGUUGGUAGGGUAAUGGCCUACCAAGGCUACGAUGGUUAGCAGGUCUGAGAGGAUGAUCAGCCACACUGGAACUGACACACGGUCCAG
rnacentral:rRNA from 1 species